AACGCGAAGAACCUUACCCAGGCUCGAAAUGUAACGGCUAGUACCAGAGAUGGUAUGUUCCGCAAGGACUGUUAUAUAGGUGCUGCAUGGCUGUCGUCAGCUCGUGCCGUGAGGUGUUUGGUUAAGUCCAGCAACGAGCGCAACCCUUAUCAUUAGUUGCCAACACGCGAGGUGGGGACUCUAAUGAGACUGCCUGGGUUAACCAGGAGGAAGGUGAGGAUGACGUCAAGUCCGCAUGGCCUUUAUGUCUGGGGCUACACACGUGCUACAAUGGUCGGUACAGAAGGCAGCAAGACCGCAAGGUGGAGCAAAUCCCUAAAGCCGAUCCCAGUUCAGAUUGUCGUCUGCAACUCGACGACAUGAAGUUGGAAUUGCUAGUAAUGACGUGUCAGCUACAACGUCGUGAAUACGUUCCCGGGCCUUGUACACACCGAGUAUA
rnacentral:rRNA from 1 species